rnacentral:rRNA from 1 species
UACGUAUGGUGCAAGCGUUAUCCGGAUUUACUGGGCGUAAAGGGAGCGCAGGCGGCGCGCCAAGUCUGAUGUGAAACCCCGGGGCUCAACCCCGGGACUGCAUUGGGAACUGCCCUGCUGGAGUGCCGGAGGGGCAGGCGGAAUUCCUAGUGUAGCGGUGAAAUGCGUAGAUAUUAGGAGGAACACCAGUGGCGAAGGCGGCCUGCUGGACGGUGACUGACGCUGAGGCUCGAAAGCGUGGGGAGCAAACAGG